rnacentral:rRNA from 1 species
UACGUAGGGUGCAAGCGUUGUCCGGAAUUAUUGGGCGUAAAGAGCUCGUAGGCGGUUUGUCGCGUCUGCUGUGAAAACCCGAGGCUCAACCUCGGGCCUGCAGUGGGUACGGGCAGACUAGAGUCCGGAAGAGGAGAGCGGAAUUCCUGGUGGUAGCGGUGGAAUGCGCAGAUAUCAGGAGGAACACCCGUGGCGAAGGCGGCUCUCUGGGACGGU